rnacentral:rRNA from 2 species
UGCAGUUGAACGGGAUUUCGAACUUCGGUUUGAAUGAGAGUAGCGCACGGGUGCGUAACGCGUAUGCAACCUACCUUUUACAGGGGGAUAGCCCGGGGAAACUCGGAUUAAUACCCCAUGGUAUCAUAAUACUGCAUGGUAUAAUGAUUAAAGAUUUAUCGGUAAAAGAUGGGCAUGCGUCUGAUUAGUUAGAUGGUGAGGUAACGGCUCACCAUGGCAAUGAUCAGUAGGGGUUCUGAGAGGAUGAUCCCCCACACUGGUACUGAGACACGGACCAGACUCCUACGGGAGGCAGCAGUAGGGAAUAUUGGUCAAUGGGCGAGAGCCUGAACCAGCCAUGCCGCGUGUAGGAUGACGGCCUUCUGGGUUGUAAACUACUUUUCUACAGGAAGAAAAAGCUUAUGCGUAAGCAAUUGACGGUACUGUAGGAAUAAGCACCGGCUAACUCCGUGCCAGCAGCCGCGGUAAUACGGAGGGUGCAAGCGUUGUCCGGAUUUAUUGGGUUUAAAGGGUGCGUAGGCGGCCAAUUAAGUCAGUGGUGAAAUCCUUCCGCUUAACGGGAGAACUGCCAUUGAAACUGGUUGGCUUGAGUACGGUUGAAGUAGGCGGAAUUUAUGGUGUAGCGGUGAAAUGCAUAGAUACCAUAA